CCUCCUGUUAUAGCCACCAUCGUUAUCAUCUCAGAUCCAAACCUUCAUUGUUGUCGUCGAAUAAGAAAGCUAUCCUCAUAUCAGCACAUGAACUGUUUGUUUUCCUUUAUUUUAUUUCACUUUUAUAAAGUAAACCUAGAUUCAGAGUUCUUUUCUUACCCUUAAAAAUCUUUAACCCGAUCUGGAUUGUUUAGAUGAACACAAAAACACAACCUCUAGGAUUCAAAUUAGCAAUACAGGGAGAUGGAGAAAGCAGUGCUAUUAUGAUUUCUUAGAAUCCCUAAAAUUAAAUCUCCACUGAAAACCCUAGAUUUGGUCAUGACCAAAUUGAAAACUUCAUCUUCUUCGUUGUGGAUUCCGCGAAUCAACAUCAGUGAUUGAAGCAUGAAUUGCAUUUCUAAUGGGUUUAAGAGAUUGGGUUUUCCCCAAUUUUGAGUCCACAAAUAGGGUUACAAGGCUGUGAAGAUGAUGGAGUUGAUAUGGAGUUAUAAUAACAUGAAUUGUUGGUAUCUGAUGAUGAUGGUGAUGUAUGAAGCUGUUUAUGGUGCUGCUUGAUGCUGAUAGAAAAAUGGCAUAACAUAUUUCCAGUUUUCUAUGAGCAGCCUACAAACAUAAUUUGCCUAAUUCUGGUAAUCACUCCAACCUAUCUAAAUGUCCUAAAGAUUGCAUAUUUUUAAGUUAUAGAGCUUUGAUUUUGUUAAAUCUGGUGUUUGCUUUUGAUGGCUGGAGUGUGUUAGAGGUGAUUAGUUUGACGUUUUAACAUGAUAUUUGAUGAGUUUUUGUUUUUAGAGUAAUGGGUUGUUAAUGCAUUUGCUAGUAGGAUUUUUUUCUGAUGGAUUGAUUGAAAGCCAGGAAGCGGUUUUGGUACAUAUUUAGUUUGACGUUUUAAUAUGAUAUUUGAUGAGAUAUCCCAUCGUAAGCCAUACAGGGGUUUUGAUACGUAUUUUCUUUCAAGAAUUCUAUUGCUAUCAGAUAUUAUAGGUCUGUCAUAUAUAGUUACUUUGCAUCGCAGAUGUAUUUGGAAUAUUUAGUUCCUGAGUAUUGCCUUUGAACCUUGUGCUUGGUUUUCACUGAAUGAUUUUGAUUGUUAAAACAGUUUAUUUAGUUUCAUUUCUGUUGUCUUUAUGUCAUCUGUGAGAUGACCAUUUACAGAACUGUUUAUCUGCAACUUUAACGCGUAAUCCUUUAACUAAGAACGUGUAGCUAUACAUAUCAUUAAGGACGCCAUCUGCAGAAACAGCUAAGAACUGUGAGUAGUUUUAAAGUUCACAGUUGACACACAAAGCUAAGUACCUCUUUAUCUCUAUCUAUAUGUAUCCUACAAUGCUUAUCUAAUGCACAAUCAUGGGUAUAAGUUGAUAUGGUAAAACAAUACAAGUAUAUGCUGGUUUUGGAACACAAUUUUUGUGUGUAAAUCAGUUAGUGUGAGUAAAUUUACCUUCAUACAUCAUUUGGACUAAUUGAUUUUAUAUGAUAAUCAGAAUCGGUACUCAUUUGAUGUUGUAUUUUAAGUAUGACAAGGAAGAGAAUUAAUACAUGCUUAUUACUGCUUUUCUCAUGUUUAAGGGUGCUCGGACUUCUAUAUCUUGGUCUCGAGCUGCUCUUAAAUACAUCAUUUUGGCACUUUCUAGACAUAUGGAUGAUGUAUUAGCUACGUAUAAGGCUGAUAUCUGGGAAUGGAUCAGCAUACGGUGAAUAUUUCCUCGCAGUCUCACUGGUUAGAAAGAUGGGCAUGAAAAGAUGUUCAAAAGUGACGGUUCAUCAAACAUCUUUAUCGAAUAUGAUGAGGAAGUUGAUUUUCCGAGUAUCUCCUCGCCAGGAUCUCCAGGCUCCUUUAAGUGGGAAGGAUUGCAGUUUGAAGCUGCUCUGGUUGCGGCCUUCAGGGGGGAAAGGAGGAACAAAUAACAAUGCAGUUACUGGAUGCUGAAAUUCAGGCCAAACGAAGGGAAGAUGAAAUUCAGAAUCGGAAAAUGCUUCUUUGAUUUCGCGAGGCCGGAAUCAAAUGGUUGGAGGAAGUUGCAUCUGGUAACAUCUCAGCUGAGGUGCAUCUCUUACAGGAAAAGAAGGAAUAUCUGAAAGAGAUAGAGGUUCUCCAUACCCAAGAAGAUAGGAACCUUGAAGUGACUAGAUAUUGAAUGGAAAAUCUUCGUUAGAAAGAAGAAGUUAGAAGGCAUGUGUUUCUUUCUUCCGCUCAAUCUGAGUUUAUAUUCUUUGCACUAGAAGUAAUGCUACCCUUUGUUAUUUGAUGCCAGUCUUACUUGUAACCACACUUCGUAUGAUUUUUGUGGUGUGCUUCAUACUGAGUAUAUGGAGUUCAUCAUGGUAUAUAUCAUGGUGAAGUAACUCUAAGAGUACUUUCUUGAUAUUUUUGUUGGAUUAAUUUGAUUUCCGAAUAA